UACGAAGGGGGCUAGCGUUGCUCGGAAUUACUGGGCGUAAAGGGCGCGUAGGCGGGAUGGCAAGUCGGUCGUGAAAUCCCUCGGCUCAACCGAGGAACGUCGAUCGAUACUGCUGUUCUUGAGGAUUGCAGAGGAGACUGGAAUUCCCGGUGUAGCGGUGAAAUGCGCAGAUAUCGGGAAGAACACCCGUGGCGAAGGCGGCUCUCUGGGACGGUACGUGACGCUGAGACGCGAAAGCGUGGGGAGCGAACAGG
rnacentral:rRNA from 1 species